rnacentral:rRNA from 1 species
GACGAACGCUGGCGGCGUGCUUAACACAUGUAAGUCGAACGGAAAGGCCCUGCUUUUGUGGGGUGCUCGAGUGGCGAACGGGUGAGUAACACGUGAGUAACCUGCCCUUGACUUUGGGAUAACUUCAGGAAACUGGGGCUAAUACCGGAUAGGAGCUCCUGCUGCAUGGUGGGGGUUGGAAAGUUUCGGCGGUCGGGGAUGGACUCGCGGCUUAUCAGCUUGUUGGUGGGGUAGUGGCUUACCAAGGCUUUGACGGGUAGCCGGCCUGAGAGGGUGACCGGCCACAUUGGGACUGAGAUACGGCCCAGACUCCUACGGGAGGCAGCAGUGGGGAAUAUUGCACAAUGGGCGGAAGCCUGAUGCAGCAACGCCGCGUGCGGGAUGACGGCCUUCGGGUUGUAAACCGCUUUCGCCUGUGACGAAGCGUGAGUGACGGUAAUGGGUAAAGAAGCACCGGCUAACUACGUG